AGGGUCAGGUGAGUGGCCGCCCCCUCAGGGGGGAGGAAAGUCCGGGCUCCACAGGGCGGGACACCGGAGAAAUCCCGGUUCCGGCAACGGAGAGAACGUGCCACAGAAACGAAACCGCCCCUGAUGGUUUUCAGCAGACAUGCUUCUUGAAAUUGACUGCAGCAUUCAUCGGGGGUAAGGGUGAAAAGGUGGGGUAAGAGCCUACCGGUACGCUGGUAACAGUGUUCGCACGGCAAACCUUGUCCGGUGCAAGGCCUAAUAGGGAGGAAGGUCUCAUUGAGGCCGGGGAAUUGCCCGUUCCCUUUGACCUCCGGGUUGGCCGCUAGAGGUGCCGGGUAACCGGCAUCCCAGACGGAUGGCCACUGCCGCCUCAGGGCGGAACAGAACCCGGCUUACAGCCUGACCCUCACU
rnacentral:RNase_P_RNA from 1 species